rnacentral:tRNA from 1 species
GGAGAGGUACCGAAGUGGUCAUAACGGCGCCGACUCGAAAUCGGAUGGUCAGAGAAAUCUGGCACAAGGGUUCGAAUCCCUUCCUCUCCGCCA